AGCGUACACGGUGGAUGCCCUGGCAGUCAGAGGCGAUGAAGGACGUGCUAAUCUGCGAUAAGCGUCGGUGAGGUGAUAUGAACCGUUAUAACCGGCGAUUUCCGAAUGGGGAAACCCAGUGUGUUUCGACACACUAUCAUUAACUGAAUCCAUAGGUUAAUGAGGCGAACCGGGGGAACUGAAACAUCUAAGUACCCCGAGGAAAAGAAAUCAACCGAGAUUCCCCCAGUAGCGGCGAGCGAACGGGGAGGAGCCCAGAGCCUGAAUCAGUGUGUGUGUUAGUGGAAGCGUCUGGAAAGGCGCGCGAUACAGGGUGACAGCCCCGUACACAAAAAUGCACAUAUUGUGAGCUCGAUGAGUAGGGCGGGACACGUGGUAUCCUGUCUGAAUAUGGGGGGACCAUCCUCCAAGGCUAAAUACUCCUGACUGACCGAUAGUGAACCAGUACCGUGAGGGAAAGGCGAAAAGAACCCCGGCGAGGGGAGUGAAAAAGAACCUGAAACCGUGUACGUACAAGCAGUGGGAGCCUCUUAAUGGGGUGACUGCGUACCUUUUGUAUAAUGGGUCAGCGACUUAUAUUCUGUAGCAAGGUUAACCGAAUAGGGGAGCCGAAGGGAAACCGAGUCUUAACUGGGCGUUAAGUUGCAGGGUAUAGACCCGAAACCCGGUGAUCUAGCCAUGGGCAGGUUGAAGGUUGGGUAACACUAACUGGAGGACCGAACCGACUAAUGUUGAAAAAUUAGCGGAUGACUUGUGGCUGGGGGUGAAAGGCCAAUCAAACCGGGAGAUAGCUGGUUCUCCCCGAAAGCUAUUUAGGUAGCGCCUCGUGAAUUCAUCUCCGGGGGUAGAGCACUGUUUCGGCAAGGGGGUCAUCCCGACUUACCAACCCGAUGCAAACUGCGAAUACCGGAGAAUGUUAUCACGGGAGACACACGGCGGGUGCUAACGUCCGUCGUGAAGAGGGAAACAACCCAGACCGCCAGCUAAGGUCCCAAAGUCAUGGUUAAGUGGGAAACGAUGUGGGAAGGCCCAGACAGCCAGGAUGUUGGCUUAGAAGCAGCCAUCAUUUAAAGAAAGCGUAAUAGCUCACUGGUCGAGUCGGCCUGCGCGGAAGAUGUAACGGGGCUAAACCAUGCACCGAAGCUGCGGCAGCGACACUAUGUGUUGUUGGGUAGGGGAGCGUUCUGUAAGCCUGUGAAGGUGGCCUGUGAGGGUUGCUGGAGGUAUCAGAAGUGCGAAUGCUGACAUAAGUAACGAUAAAGCGGGUGAAAAGCCCGCUCGCCGGAAGACCAAGGGUUCCUGUCCAACGUUAAUCGGGGCAGGGUGAGUCGACCCCUAAGGCGAGGCCGAAAGGCGUAGUCGAUGGGAAACAGGUUAAUAUUCCUGUACUUGGUGUUACUGCGAAGGGGGGACGGAGAAGGCUAUGUUGGCCGGGCGACGGUUGUCCCGGUUUAAGCGUGUAGGCUGGUUUUCCAGGCAAAUCCGGAAAACCAAGGCUGAGGCGUGAUGACGAGGCACUACGGUGCUGAAGCGACAAAUGCCCUGCUUCCAGGAAAAGCCUCUAAGCAUCAGGUAACAUCAAAUCGUACCCCAAACCGACACAGGUGGUCAGGUAGAGAAUACCAAGGCGCUUGAGAGAACUCGGGUGAAGGAACUAGGCAAAAUGGUGCCGUAACUUCGGGAGAAGGCACGCUGAUAUGUAGGUGAAGCGACUUGCUCGUGGAGCUGAAAUCAGUCGAAGAUACCAGCUGGCUGCAACUGUUUAUUAAAAACACAGCACUGUGCAAACACGAAAGUGGACGUAUACGGUGUGACGCCUGCCCGGUGCCGGAAGGUUAAUUGAUGGGGUUAGCGGUAACGCGAAGCUCUUGAUCGAAGCCCCGGUAAACGGCGGCCGUAACUAUAACGGUCCUAAGGUAGCGAAAUUCCUUGUCGGGUAAGUUCCGACCUGCACGAAUGGCGUAAUGAUGGCCAGGCUGUCUCCACCCGAGACUCAGUGAAAUUGAACUCGCUGUGAAGAUGCAGUGUACCCGCGGCAAGACGGAAAGACCCCGUGAACCUUUACUAUAGCUUGACACUGAACAUUGAGCCUUGAUGUGUAGGAUAGGUGGGAGGCUUUGAAGUGUGGACGCCAGUCUGCAUGGAGCCGACCUUGAAAUACCACCCUUUAAUGUUUGAUGUUCUAACGUUGGCCCCUAAUCGGGGUUGCGGACAGUGUCUGGUGGGUAGUUUGACUGGGGCGGUCUCCUCCUAAAGAGUAACGGAGGAGCACGAAGGUUGGCUAAUCCUGGUCGGACAUCAGGAGGUUAGUGCAAUGGCAUAAGCCAGCUUGACUGCGAGCGUGACGGCGCGAGCAGGUGCGAAAGCAGGUCAUAGUGAUCCGGUGGUUCUGAAUGGAAGGGCCAUCGCUCAACGGAUAAAAGGUACUCCGGGGAUAACAGGCUGAUACCGCCCAAGAGUUCAUAUCGACGGCGGUGUUUGGCACCUCGAUGUCGGCUCAUCACAUCCUGGGGCUGAAGUAGGUCCCAAGGGUAUGGCUGUUCGCCAUUUAAAGUGGUACGCGAGCUGGGUUUAGAACGUCGUGAGACAGUUCGGUCCCUAUCUGCCGUGGGCGCUGGAGAACUGAGGGGGGCUGCUCCUAGUACGAGAGGACCGGAGUGGACGCAUCACUGGUGUUCGGGUUGUCAUGCCAAUGGCACUGCCCGGUAGCUAAAUGCGGAAGAGAUAAGUGCUGAAAGCAUCUAAGCACGAAACUUGCCCCGAGAUGAGUUCUCCCUGACUCCUUGA
rnacentral:rRNA from 1 species